rnacentral:rRNA from 1 species
UACGAAGGGGGGCUAGCGUUGCUCGGAAUCACUGGGCGUAAAGCGCACGUAGGCGGAUCUUUAAGUCAGAGGUGAAAUCCCAAGGCUCAACCUUGGAACUGCCUUUGAUACUGGGGAUCUCGAGUCCGGAAGAGGUGAGUGGAACUGCGAGUGUAGAGGUGAAAUUCGUAGAUAUUCGCAAGAACACCAGUGGCGAAGGCGGCUCACUGGUCCGGUACUGACGCUGAGGUGCGAAAGCGUGGGGAGCAAACAGG